rnacentral:rRNA from 1 species
CCGUCGCGGGCGCAGGAAAUUUGAGAGGAGCUGUCCUUAGUACGAGAGGACCGGGAUGGACGUUCCGCUGGUGUACCAGUUGUGCCGCCAGGCGCAUCGCUGGGUAGCUAUGAACGGCAGGGAUAAACGCUGAAAGCAUCUAAGUGUGAAGCCCCCCUCGAGAUGAGAUUUCCCAUUCCUAUAUGGAAGUAAGACCCCUGAGAGAUGAUCAGGUAGAUAGGCUGGAAGUGGAAGUGCAGCGAUGCAUGGAGCGGACCAGUACUAAUCGGUCGAGGACUUAACCAAG